GCCAGCAUGUCAUAGUGGUUUAUGUGCUGAACUAGAAUUCUGGAAACCAGGGUUCAAAUCCCUUACUGGUC
rnacentral:tRNA from 1 species